rnacentral:rRNA from 1 species
UACGGAGGGGGCUAGCGUUGUUCGGAAUUACUGGGCGUAAAGCGCACGUAGGCGGCUUUGUAAGUUAGAGGUGAAAGCCCGGGGCUCAACUCCGGAAUUGCCUUUAAGACUGCAUCGCUAGAAUUGUGGAGAGGUAAGUGGAAUUCCGAGUGUAGAGGUGAAAUUCGUAGAUAUUCGGAAGAACACCAGUGGCGAAGGCGACUUACUGGACACAUAUUGACGCUGAGGUGCGAAAGCGUGGGGAGCAGACAGG